GCUGAAAGUCACAAAAUUCACUGAAGGGAAACGUUUCGCACCUGACGAUUAACAGUCAUUAAACUACGACCAGGCUAGAGCACGGCUUUGACGAUGAAAUGCUUAAAUAUAAUCCUAAGGAGAAAGAUUCUGUCUACAUUUUGUCAAUGGGUGGGAUACCAAAAUUUCCUUUACCUCCGAGGGCUGAGAAUCUUUACUGCACCAAUGGAUGCUUGGUCUCAACUUUGUUGUUGCUGCUCAAAACAGAGGCGGUGGAUUUACUGGUGAACACCAACCAACCUGAUAUAUGUGCGAGCGGGAACACCUUUAUGGGGCGGUUUUCUGCCGAGAGGGCACUUUGUGCUGAAUAUAAACAAAAACAGAAGAAAAAAAUAUUCUCCAAAACUGACGGACGUUACGGCUCCCUCGGUUCAGGUUGGGCAUUCUAACACCUCCCAGAAGGUAUCCGAUAAAAAUUAUCAAAAACUAAAUUUCUUUUUCAUUUGUACUUCGUAAGAAAUUCAAAAUUCUCUGAACAAAGUAGAGACAAGUCUCGUGGUAACUUACAACAACAAUCGAUAUAAACGUAUUUGUCAAGACCUACCAAAAACUGAGCAAGUAUAAAGAUUUUGAAACAGAAAUUAUCAAAAUGUGGAACCUGAAAACUAAAACAAUACCUGUUGUCAUAGGUACCCUAGGAAUGAUAGCAAAAGGAGCUGAUUGCUACCUAGCUCAGAUACUAGGAAACCCCCAAAUAGCAGAAAUUCAAAAGAUAGUGCUCAUGGGAACUGCCCAUAUCCUACUGUCUAUGUAAUCUCAAGUUUUAAAACAAACAUAAUUUUCUUAUGGCUUCUUAAACAUUCUCUAGAACAACACUAUGUACAAAACCAAAUAUAUGUCACCCUGAGCAUAACACCAACAUGAACUUCUAACUUGUUGUCUCUUGAGGUCUCUGGGUGAGACUUGGAGCCAACUUGUACAAAUGCAAAACAAAAGUCAAAAAUAAAAUAAUAAUAAUAAUAAUAAUCUUGCUAUAAUGUCCGCCC